rnacentral:rRNA from 1 species
CGCCGCCACGGGAAUACGUAGGGUGCAAGCGUUAAUCGGAAUUACUGGGCGUAAAGCGUGCGCAGGCGGUUAUAUAAGACAGAUGUGAAAUCCCCGGGCUCAACCUGGGAACUGCAUUUGUGACUGUAUAGCUAGAGUACGGCAGAGGGGGAUGGAAUUCCGCGUGUAGCAGUGAAAUGCGUAGAUAUGCGGAGGAACACCGAUGGCGAAGGCAAUCCCCUGGGCCUGUACUGACGCUCAUGCACGAAAGCGUGGGGAGCAAACAGGAUUAGAUACCCCCGUAGUCCCUGUCUCUUAUACC